CCUAGCUAGCUAGCUGACAACAACGCGUCGCGACGAUAUCGACAAAGUCGGAGAAUGGAUUGAAACUAAAGAGCUGAAAGAAGUUAACAACAUGAAGCAGAAAGUCCCAUGCAGGAUGAUGCUUCUCUACAGUGGGUGAUGAAGGCAUGCUGGUUUACAAACUCAGGAGAGGAACAAAGAAGAGAUAUUGACGGGAUCAUAUCUAGAGAUGCGGGCCUACUACACUUCAUACGAGCAAGUGUGCUAAUAUACAUACUUGGGUUAUCACUAC
rnacentral:lncRNA from 1 species